rnacentral:rRNA from 1 species
AGCGAACGCUGGCGGCAGGCUUAACACAUGCAAGUCGAACGGGCAUCUUCGGAUGUCAGUGGCAGACGGGUGAGUAACGCGUGGGAACGUACCCUUCGGUUCGGAAUAACUCAGGGAAACUUGAGCUAAUACCGGAUACGCCCUUUUGGGGAAAGGUUUACUGCCGGAGGAUCGGCCCGCGUCUGAUUCGUUUGGUGGUGGGGUAACGGCCUACCAAGGCGACGAUCAGUAGCUGGUCUGAGAGGAUGAUCAGCCACACUGAGACUGAGACACGGCCCAGACUCCUACGGGAGGCAGCAGUGGGGAAUAUUGGAAAAUGGGCGCAAGUCUGAUCCAGCCAGGCCGCGUGAGUGAUGAAGGCCUUAGGGUUGUAAAGCUCUUUUGUCCGGGACGAUAAUGACGGUACCGGAAGAAUAAGCCCCGGCUAACUUCGUG